AGAUGUGAGGGCCAUCUUGCUAAGACAUCUGUCACCCCAUUGAUCACCAGGGUUGAUUCGGCUGAUCUGGUUGGCUCCGUGGGUGUCCGCUUCCUCCCUCAACGCUCCAUGGGCGUCCCUCCCGAAGCUGCGCUCGGUAGAAGUGGACAACCACCCCCGACUGAGGAGGACCUUUCCUUGGUCAAGGGUAUACGAGUAGCUGCGCUCCCCUGCUAGAACCUCCAAACAAGUUCUCAAAAUGUAGUCUCUGUGUAAAGAAGAAACAAAGAGUAUGGCUAAAAAUUUCUUGUUAAGUCCUAAAAAAUUUGAGGUUACAGUUUAUAG
rnacentral:snRNA from 1 species